UCGAGGAUCUUUCGCAAUGGGCGCAAGCCUGACGAAGCGACGCCGUGUGAGCGAUGAAGGCCUUCGGGUUGUAAAGCUCUUUCGCAUGAGAACAAGGAGUGGGCGUGAAUAACGCCUAUUUUUUGAGGGUAUCGUGUAAAGAAGCACCGGCUAACUCCGUGCCAGCAGCUGCGGUAAUACGGAGGGUGCAAGCAUUAAUCGGAAUUAUUGGGCGUAAAGGGCGCGUAGGCGGGUGGGGAAGUCAGAUGUGAAAUUCCGGGGCUCAACCUCGGAGCUGCAUGUGAUACUCCCUGUCUAGAGGGAUGGCGGAGAAAAUGGAAUUCCACGUGUAGCGGUGAAAUGCGUAGAUAUGUGGAGGAACACCAGUGGCGAAAGCGGUUUUCUAGCUAUCUCCUGACGCUGAGGCGCGAGAGCAAGGGGAGCAAACAGGAUUAGAUACCCGCGUAGUCC
rnacentral:rRNA from 1 species